rnacentral:snRNA from 1 species
GCGCUCGCUUCGACAGCACAUAGGCUAACAUUGGAACGAUACAGAGAAGAUUAGCAAGGUCCCUGGGCAAGAAUGACAGCAAAUUCGUGACGUGUUCCAUACGGUG